rnacentral:tRNA from 1 species
CCGAUCAUGCAGUGCCAGAAAUCGCCCUCUCACGGCGAAAACAGGGGUUCGAGUCCCCUUGGGAGCGCCA